UGCUACAGAAAUUGUAUGUGCAUAUCUUGUGUUUAUUUAUUGAUACUUAUGCGUAUAUUCUCUCAUGAGCCAUAGACUUCAAUUACAUUUCCUUUUUCUGAAACUGAAAUUACGGAAUUUAUCUUAUUUUUGUAACUGGGUAAUUAUGGGUGUUUUAUGACAAGGAAGCUGAUGAAAACCAUUUUACCAAGUUAGGAAUAUAAUUUUCUUUUUAGUGCAAGUGGUUUGAUUUUUAGAAAUGGUUAAAUAUGCGAACUGCUUUGGCACUGAUAUGCAUCUAUGGUUAGUUUGUUUCUUGUUAUAAAAGAAGUGAAUCAUGUACCAUUAGAGCAUUUGAUAACCUGUUUUGCUUGAUGCAUUUCAUAAUGACUUUAUUGCAAAGUAGGCUCUUACAGUUGCAACAUAAAGGGCUUGCAUGUUUCACCAACUUUAUGUUACAGAAACUUUUCAUUUGUGUUUCGACUGAUAUAAUUUGAGUGCUCUUCUAUUAUCUUUUUGAGUGCUCUUCUAUUAUGGUCAGUACCUAUUUGUUAUAUUCAUGGGCUAUCCUAAUUCUGAAUAUGAUGCUCUGGAUAAAUGGGAUCCAGAACUUAAUGAGUUUGUUCAGAUUGUUUUGGAUAGACUUUAAAUAAACAGAGUAAGCCUAGGGAACUUCUAAGAAAGAUUGCCUAAUCAUUUGUAAUUUUGUUUGCAGUGAUCAAAACUUAGGAAGUACCCAUGUUGUUUCGCAUAUAAUUUUUCAUUGCUGCACAUCUAAUACUAGUGCACUGCUUCUUCUUCUUUUACAGUUUUGCAUCGGCACUAUAAAGGAU
rnacentral:misc_RNA from 1 species